rnacentral:misc_RNA from 1 species
AACAAGGCGUACCUGCGGACCUGCGGAAGGAUCAUUACCGAGUUUACAACUCCCAAACCCAAUGUGAACGUUACCAAACUGUUGCCUCGGCGGGAUCUCUGCCCCGGGUGCGUCGCAGCCCCGGACCAAGGCGCCCGCCGGAGGACCAACCAAAACUCUUUUGUAUACCCCCUCGCGGGUUUUUUAUAUCUGAGCCAUCUCGGCGCCUCUCGUAGGCGUUUCGAAAAUGAAUCAAAACUU